rnacentral:rRNA from 1 species
GCGACCUCAGCUCAGGCGGGGCCACCCGCUGAGUUUAAGCAUAUCAAUAAGCGGAGGAAAGAAACUACAGGAUUCCCCUA